CAGCCGCCGCGGUAAUACGUAGGUGGCAAGCGUUGUCCGGAAUUAUUGGGCUUAAAGGGCUCGCAGGCGGUUUCUUAAGUCUGAUGUGAAAGCCCCCGGCUCAACCGGGGAGGGUCAUUGGAAACUGGGAAACUUGAGUGCAGAAGAGGAGAGUGGAAUUCCACGUGUAGCGGUGAAAUGCGUAGAGAUGUGGAGGAACACCAGUGGCGAAGGCGACUCUCUGGUCUGUAACUGACGCUGAGGAGCGAAAGCGUGGGGAGCGAACAGGAUUAGAUACCCCAGUAGUCCCUGUCUCUUAUAC
rnacentral:rRNA from 1 species